GACGGGGGAUGCAAGUGUUGUCCGGAAUCACUGGGCGUAAAGCGUCUGCAGGUGGUUUCCUAAGUCCACUGUUAAACCUUGAGGCUCAACCUCAAAUCUGCAUUGGAAACUAGGAGACUUGAGUAUAGUAGGGGUAGAGGGAAUUUCCAGUGGAGCGGUGAAAUGCGUAGAUAUUGGAAAGAACACCGAUGGCGAAGGCACUCUACUGGGCUAUUACUGACACUCAGAGACGAAAGCUAGGGGAGCAAAUGGG
rnacentral:rRNA from 1 species